rnacentral:rRNA from 1 species
GACGAACGCUGGCGGCGUGCUUAACACAUGCAAGUCGAACGGAAAGGCCCUGCUUUUGUGGGGUGCUCGAGUGGCGAACGGGUGAGUAACACGUGAGUAACCUGCCCUUGACUUUGGGAUAACUUCAGGAAACUGGGGCUAAUACCGGAUAGGAGCUCCUGCUGCAUGGUGGGGGUUGGAAAGUUUCGGCGGUUGGGGAUGGACUCGCGGCUUAUCAGCUUGUUGGUGGGGUAGUGGCUUACCAAGGCUUGGACGGGUAGCCGGCCUGAGAGGGUGACCGGCCACAUUGGGACUGAGAUACGGCCCAGACGCCUACGGGAGGCAGCAGUGGGGAAUAUUGCACAAUGGGCGGAAGCCGGAUGCAGCAACGCCGCGUGCGGGAGGACGGCCUUCGGGUUGUAAACCGCUUUCGCCUGUGACGAAGCGUGAGUGACGGUAAUGGGGAAAGAAGCACCGGCUAACUACGG